AGAAAGAGGUCUGGGUUAAAAAAAAAAAAAAAAUUCUAACCCAAAAGUCAAGCCCUAUAUAAACCAGUCAUUCUCUUGUAGCCAAACGGCGCCUUCCCCUAAUCUUUUUAUUGCUUUUGGCUGAGAAGACCGGCAAAAGAUAACCCUAACUACUAGAUAAUGUCUGGGAUGUACGGUGAAGACGGCGAAUCUGCUCCUCCAUCUUACGGUGGAUAUGGCGGCGGUGGUGAUGGCGGCGGAGGUGGAGGAGGAUAUGGAGGAGGGGCUAGUGGUGGCGGCUAUGGGGGUGAUGGUGGUUAUGGCGGUCGUGGCGGCAGAGGUGGUGGUGGCGGCGGCGGCAGAGGAUAUGGUGGUGGCGGCAGAGGAUAUGGUGGUAAUUCACAAAAUCGUGGUGGUGGUGGAGGAGAUCGUGGAGGAAGAGGAGGUGGAGGUGGAGGUGGAGGUGGUGGCAGAGGAGGUGGCCGAGGUGGAGGCGGAAGGGACGGUGAUUGGCUGUGCCCUAAUCCAAGCUGUGGCAAUUUGAACUUUGCAAGGAGAGUUGAGUGUAACAAAUGCGGCACUCCCUCCCCUGCUGGUGCCAACAAUGAUCGUGGAAGUGGUGCUGGAGGAGGUUAUAACAAAGGAGGAAGUGGUGGAGGAUAUGGUGGUAACCGAGGGGGUAGAGGUGUUAACUAUGAUGGUAAUAGAAGCAGCAAUUACAAUGAUGGAGGCAGAGGUGGUAAUUAUGAUAAUAGGAGUGGAGGUGGCAGUAGGGGGGGCAGUUAUGGUGGUAAUCAUGGAAGAGACACUGGUGCUUGUAAUCAGAUGCCUCCUCCUGCACUCCCAUCUUAUGGUAGUGCUAGUGGUAAUUAUCCUCCACCUCCUAACUCAUAUGGUGGCAAUGCAAAUUAUGGAAUGGAAGCAGUUCCUCCUCCUACAAGCUACACUGGUGGACCGACAUCUUACCCACCGUCUUAUGGUGGUCCUGUGAGUGGUUAUGGUGGUGAUGCUCCAGCUGAUGUGAGGACUGGUGGGCGAGGUGGUCAACCUGGUGGGUACGGUACUGGUGGUCCUCGGUAUGAAGGAGGAGGUGGGUACAGCGGUGCUGUCACUGAUGCCCCAGCUAAAAUUAAGCAGUGUGAUGGAAAUUGUGAUGAUACUUGUGACAACUCUAGAAUAUACAUAUCAAAUUUGCCCCCUGAUGUGACUAUUGAUGAAUUGAGAGAACUCUUUGGCGGCAUUGGACAAGUUGGAAGGAUUAAGCAGAAGCGGGGCUAUAAAGAUCAGUGGCCCUGGAAUAUAAAAUUAUACACAGAUGAGAAGGGAAACAACAAAGGCGAUGCAGUUUUGUCUUAUGAAGAUCCAUCUGCUGCACAUUCUGCUGGCGGUUUUUAUAACAAUUAUGAUAUGAGGGGUUAUAAAAUCAGUGUUGCAAUGGCGGAAAAGACAGCACUAAGGCAACCUUCAUAUGACCAUGGAGGUGGUGGUAGAGGUGGCUAUGGUGGAGGUGAUCGGCGCCGGGAUAGUUAUAGAGAUGGGGGCUCUGGCCCAGAUAGGCACUACCAUGGUGGAAACCGUUCACGUCCAUACUGAGAAUUUCAGCAUUGAGCUUUUUAUGUACUAAGAAUUGUGAUCUGAGGGAUUUAUUAUAUUCCAUUUCCUUUGGGGGGUUAAACUGGAGACUAAGAGAGACAAGUGGAUUAACUCCAAAUUUCUCGCUGCUAUAAGGUAGGUUGAUAUUUUCAGGUGAGUGCAGCUCUUUUAAACUCUCACUUUAUCCUUGUUUGGAAUGCAGAGUGGUGAAUUAUGUCAAUUUUCUUUGCAUGCCUCCACUAAACAUAGCAUUGGAACUUUGUUGGUUUUCUACCAACGAAAAUUUCAGCUUGGGCUAGUUUUAGCUUAAUUCGUUUAUUGGUUGGAACAUAUCAAUGCAAAGCAUUUUUGUGUGUUAGAGAUAUCGUCCUAGUUCAAGUUGUUUGUUGAAAAUUCUCACCAUGUUACAUAUGGUAGAAUAUAAAAAAUUAUUUGGAUAUGGGCGAGAGUUAACAUUAUAAAUCUCCCUGAAGUCCUAGGAAAUAUGUUAUUUUCCCCCUUUUUUUUUGUGUGUGUUCUAGACAUACAAUAUUUUGCCAUGUUCAAUUGUUUGGUUAAAAUGCUAAUAUAUCACCUUGAGAACUUCAGUGCAUUGAAAGUGUUGAUAAAAUGCUAAUUUUAUAGCAUCUCAAUGAAUUAUACAUUAUGAUUUUCUUUAAUAUAAUCAUACUUUGUGGUUGUAUUUCUUAAUUGCCAUCUAAUGCAUAUAGCAUAAAAGGAUAUAUAUUUUGCUAUUGUGUUAGUCUGGUUGGGUGCUUCUCUGAAUCCUGGCUAGAGUUUUGCUUUUGCUUGGCGUGUUGGAAGUAAGGGUACUCUCAUGCAGAAUCACAGAUGGCCAGAUGCGUCAUCUAAUCUUGAAAUUGGUUGUAGUUUCUGUAAGAUACAUUAGGAAUGCUGGGUAAGAUUAUUGUAAUUUUUACUAUUCUAGUGUACAAGGAUGUGUAUGUUGGAGCCCACAAUUGUUAUUGAGGUUGGGAGGUGAAAAAAUUGCUUUUUUAGGCAUUCCAUUGAAGGGAGGUUUGUGCCGAUCCUAUUGCUGAAGGGAGGUUUUCGUCAUCUGGAGCUUCUACUUUUCUAACCUGCACAGGGCAAUCGACUUUAGCAUGUGUGUGGAUUCAUGGGGUUGCUGCUUGCUGUUAUUAUGUCACUGUUAGAAUCCUUCAUUGUUCCACCGAGAUUAGAAUACACAUGAUUCUAAAACUUGGUACUUGAUUCUAAAACUUAGUACUUUUUCAGGGUUUGAGGAGUUUGCGUUAUAUUUGACUGAUUUCAUGGAGAUCGGAAAUGAAGUGUAAUUUGUGUUACUCUAGUCUAGUGAGCUAAUGGUAUUUUUCUU